UACAGAGGUCCCAAGCGUUUGUUCGGAUUCAUUGGGCGUAAAGGGUGCGUAGGCGGCGCGGUAAGUCGGGUGUGAAAUCUCGGAGCUUAACUCCGAAACUGCAUUCGAUACUGCCGUGCUUGAGGACUGGAGAGGAGACUGGAAUUUACGGUGUAGCGGUGAAAUGCGUAGAUAUCGUAAGGAAGACCAGUGGCGAAGGCGGGUCGUCUGGGCAACAACUGACGCUGAGGAGCGAAAGCGUGGGGAGCGAACAGG
rnacentral:rRNA from 1 species